UGGGAAUCGACUCGCAUUACCUCAAUCCCAUUCCCAUUUUUGAGGACUUCAUUUCCCAUUCCCAGUGGCCAAAUCCCAGUCCCAGUAACCCAAAUCCCAUUUUCCCAGUCUAAAAUUAGAUCAAUCCCAGUUCCCAUUUUACCCCUUCAGGGCCCUCCAUGAAGGAAAUUCAAAAGAAAUGAAUGUUUAAUCAAUGUAUGUAAAUCGUCGGAUAAUAGAUUUGUAAACUUCAGCUUCGAUUUUCUCGGCUUAGACGGUG